GAUGAACGCUGGCGGCGUGCCUAAUACAUGCAAGUCGAGCGAACGGACGAGAAGCUUGCUUUUCUGAUGUUAGCGGCGGACGGGUGAGUAACACGUGGAUAACCUACCUAUAAGACUGGGAUAACUUCGGGAAACCGUAGCUAAUACCGGAUAAUAUUUUGAACCGCAUGGUUCAAAAGUGAAAGGCGGUCUUGCUGUCACUUAUAGAUGGAUCCGCGCUGCAUUAGCUAGUUGGUAAGGUAACGGCUUACCAAGGCAACGAUGCAUAGCCGACCUGAGAGGGUGAUCGGCCACACUGGAACUGAGACACGGUCCAGACUCCUACGGGAGGCAGCAGUAGGGAAUCUUCCGCAAUGGGCGAAAGCCUGACGGAGCAACGCCGCGUGAGUGAUGAAGGUCUUCGGAUCGUAAAACUCUGUUAUUAGGGAAGAACAUAUGUGUAAGUAACUGUGCACAUCUUGACGGUACCUAAUCAGAAAGCCACGGCUAACUACGUG
rnacentral:rRNA from 1 species